CAGUCGCCGCGGGAAUACGGAGGGCGCGAGCGUUACCCGGAUUUACUGGGCGUAAAGGGCGUGUAGGCGGCCUGGGGCGUCCCAUGUGAAAGGCCACGGCUCAACCGUGGAGGAGCGUGGGAUACGCUCAGGCUAGAGGGUGGGAGAGGGUGGUGGAAUUCCCGGAGUAGCGGUGAAAUGCGCAGAUACCGGGAGGAACGCCGAUGGCGAAGGCAGCCACCUGAUCCACUUCUGACGCUGAGGCGUGAAAGCGUGGGGAGCAAACCGGAUUAGAUACCCGCGUAGUCCCUGUCUCUUAUAC
rnacentral:rRNA from 1 species